GGCGUCAGUAGUGUAACGGAUAGAGCACGCAUUUCCGAAAAGAGUGAGGUGCGGGUUCUAGUCCCGCCUGACCCG